UGCUGAUUGGCUCAGUAACUAUAACAUCAGUCUGUUUGCUCUCCUGCUACUUAGGGGAUUUUCACCUAUCACUGGGGAUCUCAGCAAUGUAACUCCCGUGAGAGGAAAACUCUCUAACAAUGGAACAUCAAGGAGCAUCAGAGACUAGCAAAGCAUCCUGGGAACUCCAGUGAGCAAAGACAAGAGCUCUCAGCAGGCAAGAAGGGCUCCCGAUUCUGGAAGAAGAUUUUGCUCUUCCAUUUGGAAUGGCAGUACCUGCACAUCCCUGGGACCCAGCUUCCUGGCCACUGCUGCAGCCUCCUGUCCGACAUCCUGGAGAAAUGCUGCUCACAGGCUGAGGUUUUCACCAGAAGUACAAGAUGGAAGCAAGACCUAAAGAACAUGAUUCUCUAAACACAUCAUUAGGACAAUGAAACCCAACAAAAUUAAAUGGUUCAUUC
rnacentral:lncRNA from 1 species